rnacentral:rRNA from 1 species
CCUUAGGAGGCAAUCCUCAUCCCUCUUUCCUUUUCUUCCCUUUCUUUCCUUCUUUUUUCUCCUUUCGUUUUUCCAGCGCCCAGGCUUAACCGGGCGAGGACAAUGAAGACUGGUCAGCUAGAGGACGGUAGAGGGGUGUGGAAUUCCGGGUGUAGUGGUGAAAUGCGUAGAGAUCCGGAGGAACACCAGAGGCGAAGGCGACACCCUGGGCCGUACCUGACGCUAAGACGCGACAGCACGGGGAGCGAACGG